rnacentral:pre_miRNA from 1 species
AAUAUACUCCCUCCGUUCGAAAUUACUUGUCUCGGAAAUGGAUGUACCUAGAACUAAAAUACAACUAGAUACAUCCAUUUCUGCGACAAGUAAUUCCGAACGGAGGGAGUAGUAU